rnacentral:misc_RNA from 1 species
CUCCUUCGGGCGGAUAUCCACCAGCUGGUUAUACUCCUCCAGGAGGAUACCCACCUGCAGGUUAUCCUCCUCCUGGUGGUUACCCUCCGGCUGGUUAUCCUGGUCCAUCAGCUCCACAUCAUUCAGGGCAUNNNNNNNNNGAUCUGGUAUGGGGGCACUGUUAGCUGGGGGUGCAGCUGCUGCGGCUGCUGCUUACGGGGCUCACCACCUGUCUCAUGGGCUUGGACAUCAUGGUUUUGGGUAUGGCCUUGGUCGUGGGAAGUUCAAGCAUGGAAAAUUUAAGCAUGGGAAGUUUGGCAAGCGGUGGAAGCAUGGAAUGUUUGGAAAGCACAAGGGNNGAUGGAAGUGAUUCUUACCUAUUUGACUCCCUCUCUUAUUAUACAUGCACCAGCUUUCUCC